rnacentral:rRNA from 1 species
AUUGAACGCUGGCGGCAGACCUAACACAUGCAAGUCGAACGGUAACAGAAAGCAGCUUGCUGCUUUGCUGACGAGUGGCGGACGGGUGAGUAAUGUCUGGGAAACUGCCUGAUGGAGGGGGAUAACUACUGGAAACGGUAGCUAAUACCGCAUAACGUCGCAAGACCAAAGAGGGGGACCUUCGGGCCUCUUGCCAUCGGAUGUGCCCAGAUGGGAUUAGCUAGUAGGUGGGGUAAAGGCUCACCUAGGCGACGAUCCCUAGCUGGUCUGAGAGGAUGACCAGCCACACUGGAACUGAGACACGGUCCAGACUCCUACGGGAGGCAGCAGUGGGGAAUAUUGCACAAUGGGCGCAAGCCUGAUGCAGCCAUGCCGCGUGUAUGAAGAAGGCCUUCGGGUUGUAAAGUACUUUCAGCGGGGAGGAAGGGAGUAAAGUUAAUACCUUUGCUCAUUGACGUUACCCGCAGAAGAAGCACCGGCUAACUCCGUG